UGUCUCAACACUUCUGGAUGGCAUAGACAACAGAGGGGAGAUUGUGGUAAUCGGAGCCACCAACAGACCAGGUUCUAUAGAUCCUGCUUUACGGAGACCAGGACGCUUUGACAGAGAGUUCCUCUUCAACUUGCGAAAUAAAGAGGAAAUGUAAAUCCUAUUUUACAAGCUGAUAUACUUGACAGUGAUGCCGACACAUCCUUAAUGUCUGGAGAUGAACUACCAGGAGUGCUUACUAGAAACCGACAUCAUGUGAGCCUCAUCUGCUAAUAACAGGAAAAGAGGGAUAUGGCCAGGUUUCUUAUUUGGCACCCGCGGUGUUGCAUGCUUGGGAGAAGUCUCCAUUCACACCCUGACCCUAUCCAUUCUGUUUACAAACGUUGCACCGCCAGAAGAAAUAUGCGGAGAGGUCUCUUUUUUCUUUUUAUUCUCAUAGGAUUUGUUGACUGUAUGUAAAGGAUCAAUUGAGUUGCAAGUAAGAUUCUUACAAGCUUCAAAUGGCUCCUACUGGGCAUUCCCAGGUAGAACAGCACCAGAUGAGUGUUGAGACCACCGUGGAAGCUUCUACAGAGCCAGACAAUGUAGUUAUUGUGCAGCACUAUGAGCUCAAAGUAUGUCAAAUUCCAACUUUUUUAAAUGCUCAAAUAGGACAUAUUCUUGUGACCUGUACAAUUACAACUUAAGUCAGUUGUUAAGCAAUGCCAAUUAAAACAAUUAAUUGGAAGGACAUACAGAUUGUGAAGUAAUUCAACCUAUAAUGCACUGUGGCUGUUUAGUUUCCACACCUUGUGUAGAUUUCUGUAGGCCACCGUUUGCUUUUGGUCAACUGUAGUUGAGGAGACAGAUUCUUUGCCUAAUUUUUAAGGUAAAAGGCCUUGUUGAAUUUUAAAAUACCUCACUGAUGACCUGCUAGUACUAUUGGUUAUGAUUGUUGUUUUAACAAUUUUUCUGAUGAUAGGCUUUUAUUUGGGGAUGUUUAUUAUGAGUUGUUGUUUUUCUGUUUGUUUGUUUGUUUGUUUGUUUUUUAUGCUUUGAUGUAUUAGGAACAUGAAAAGGAUCUUUAUUUCUUUCAGAGAUGAUUUUAAACCUGAAGUUAGCAGGUUGACAUAAACAGGGUAGCCAUGGAUAAGUGACUACUUUUCUGAAAUUGCUUCCAAAUGCAGUAUUAGAAUUUCCCAUCCAUACUAUUGCAGUGUACUGAGGGUUUGCCAGUCUCUCAUGGGAGGAAAGUGGUUAUCGUAGGCUCCAGCGGGGGAAGUGGGUAAGACUGGCACUAGGUACGUGAAGAAGAACGUUCCUUUGCAGGAGUUGGAGAGGGCAUAAGUAAGGACCGUCUUGAGGGGAGAGCAGAAUGAGGGAAAUUAGAAUGAGGCAAUUAGAAUUGAGGCAAAUUGCUAGGAGUCCUGGAGGUUGGCCCAAAGCAGAUAAGGGCUGCUGUUUAUGUGCUGCAUGAAUCCUGUGUGGGGAGAAUAUGACCAGAUAAGAAUCCUCUUGGGUAAAAGGGCUUGUCAACACGAUUUUUGUCAAAUCCUUAAGCUGUGACCUAAUUUGUAGAGGCGAUACUAACUUUUCAAAGGUGUCUUGCUAAGGAAGCAGAUUCCAGGUUUCUUUGUUGUUCGUGUACUUGCGAUUGUGAGCACAGAUGUGGUAGACUGAUAAGUAAUAAAAGAUUGUCUGAAGUGUAAGCCUUUCCUUUCUCUGAAGUAUGAAGAAUGAACUCAUUUUCUCCACUGAAAUGGCGUGGGAUAUUUAAUCUGUUCUCUGCAGUGUCACAUUUUAUUUAAUAGUGUAAGAAAAGUAGGAUGUCACUUGUAUUGUUACUGUUUAACCUCUGGAAACAUAAAGAGCGUAUUCAGUAGAUCUC